rnacentral:rRNA from 1 species
CACGGGGGGAGCAAGCGUUGUUCGGAAUCACUGGGCGUAAAGGGCGUGUAGGCGGUCAAGUAAGUGGAAUGUGAAAGCCCCCGGCUUACCCGGGGAUCUGCAUCCCAAACUGCUUGGCUUGAGUACGGGAGAGGAUAGGGGAAUUCCUGGUGUAGCGGUGAAAUGCGUAGAUAUCAGGAGGAACACCGGUGGCGAAGGCAGCUCGCUGGGACGGUACUGACGCUGAGACGCGAAAGCGUGGGGAGCAAACAGG